rnacentral:rRNA from 1 species
AACGGCAAGAGAUGUAGCAAUACAUUUCCUAGAGUGACGUAAGGGUGCGUAACGAGUAUGCAAUCUGCCCUGUACUGGAGAAUAGCUCCCCGAAAGGGGAAUUAACACUCCAUAAGAUCGUAAAGUGGCAUCACUUAGCGAUUAAAAUUCCGAUGGUACAGGAUGAGCAUGCUUCUGAUUAGCUAGUUGGUAGUGUAACGGACUACCAAGGCGAUGAUCAGUAGGGGAACUGAGAGGUUGAUCCCCCUCACUGGCACUGAGAUACGGGCCAGACUCCUACGGGAGGCAGCAGUAGGGAAUAUUGGUCAAUGGAUGCAAGUCUGAACCAGCCAUGCCGCGUGCAGGAAGAAGGCCUUCUGGGUUGUAAACUGCUUUUGUCAGGGGAUAAAAUUUCCUUGCGAGGAAAAUUGAAGGUACCUGGCGAAUAAGCCACGGCUAACUACGUGCCAGCAGCCGCGGUAAUACGUAGGUGGCAAGCGUUGUCCGGAUUUAUUGGGUUUAAAGGGUGCGUAGGCGGUCCUAUAAGUCAGUGCUGAAAUAUCCCGGCUUAAUCGGGAGGGUGGCAUUGAUACUGCAGGACUUGAGUAGAGUUGAGGUUGGCGGAAUUGACGGUGUAGCGGUGAAAUGCUUAGAUAUCGUCAAGAACACCGAUAGUGAAGACAGCUAACUAAGCUCUAACUGACGCUGAGGCACGAAAGU